UAUGUCCUACGGCGGGCAGCAGUGGGGAAUAUUGCACAAUGGGGGAAACCCUGAUGCAGCGACGCCGCGUGAGUGAGGAAGUAUUUCGGUAUGUAAAGCUCUAUCAGCAGGGAAGAAAAUGACGGUACCCGACUAAGAAGCCCCGGCUAACUACGUGCCAGCAGCCGCGGUAAUACAUAGGGGGCAAGCGUUAUCCGGAUUUACUGGGUGUAAAGGGAGCGUAGACGGGGGAGCAAGGCUGAUG
rnacentral:rRNA from 1 species